UGUGUAGCAAUGAAUUCCUUCUAAUAGUUUCAGAGGAACUAAUAAUUUUCAAAAUAUGUUAAUAGUGCAUGUGUUAAUAUAAAGGGGUUAGAAGAUUAGUGAUGCAUUUUUUUGCAUUGGAAAAAGAAUAUAAUAAAGGUCUCCCAGGUGACUCAAGCAGCAGCAAUUUUUAUUGGAGAUUAAAGCUUGAUAGACCUUUGCUUGGAUGAUUAACCCUUCAGAAAUUAAAACCUAAUGCUAAAGAAUUCUAUCCAAUUUAAAUGCAAA
rnacentral:lncRNA from 1 species